UUUUUUUUUUUUUUUUUUUGAUACGGAGUCUCACUCUGUCACCCAGGCUGGAGUGCAAUGGCACAAUCUCGGCUCACUGCAGCCUCCGCCUCCCGGGUUCAAGCGAUUCUCCUGCCUCAGCCUCCUACAGGCGUGCGCCACUGUGCCCAGCUAAUUUUUGUAUUUUAUUUUUUUAGUAGAGACAGGAUUUUGCACUGUUAGGCUGGUCUCGACCUACUGACCUCAUGAUCGCCCGCCUUGACCUCCCAAAGUGGUGGGAUUACAGGCGUGAGCCACCACUUCCAGCCAAGUAGGACAUUUCUUUGAGUGAUUUUCUUAGAAGGGGGGCAUGAGUGGUACUUUCAAAGUCUUUUUAUGUCCAAUUUCUUUUUAACCUUCGUGUAUGAAUGAUAUUGUGGUUAGGUUUAGAAUUCUUGGAAUACUAGUCCUAGUCUCGACAAAGUCUAAGUAGCUUUCCAGUGUUUUGAGUUUCUGGUGAUACAGAUGAGAAGUCCAAUGGGAUUUUUUUUCCUUGUGAGACGUGGUCUUGUAACACAGUGGUUAAGAAUGUGACUUUGGAGCCAGCCUGCUAGGGGCUGAAUUCUGACUCAGCCAUUUACUAACUGUGUGACCUUAGGUAAGUCAUUUACCUUCUUUGUCCCUCAGUUUCAUCUCGGUUAAGUAGGGAUAAUGAUAGCACCUAUUUUAUAGGGUUAUUGUGAGGAAUAAAUCCAAGUAAAAUGCUUAGAAUAGUAACUGAAACAUAGCACUCAUUAGGAAUGCUUUAAUUUUCAUUUAUUUGAGUAUUAAAGGUUGAAUUUUCAGAGGUAUUUUGGACCUUUGUAUUUUUUCUUUAAAUCACUUAUUCAUGACUUUUGAACUUUUUUUUUUCUUUUAGAGACAGGGUCUUGGUUUGUUGUCUAGGCUGGAAUGCAGUGGUGCAAUCAUAGCUCACUGUAGCCUUGAACUCUUGGGCUCAAGAGAUCCUCCUGCCUCAGCCUCGUGAGUAGCUGGGCCUACAGGCGCCUGCUACCACACCUGGCUAAUUUUUUAUUUUUUGUAGAGAUGGGUUCUUGCAGCCCAGACUGGUCUUGAGCUUUGGCCUGAAGUGCUCCUCCUGCCUUGGCCUCUCAAAGCAUUGGGGUUACAGGUGUGAAGCACUGCACCUUGCCUACACAUUUUUUCCAAUAAUUUUUUUUAUUAAUUUGUAAGAGUUAACAUGUCGACUAUCAUAUAUAACAUAGAAUUGUUCCCAUUUUGUCAUUUCCUUUCAACUUUGUCUAUGUAGCUUUUUUUCUGUGUGCAAAUUUUACAUUUUUAGGUAGUCAGAAAAUCUCUUCCCUUGUAAUUUUUUCUGCUACUAGACCAAUGUUUAGAAAAAAGCGUGCUUCCCCACCUCAAAAUUAUAAAAAUAGUUACUUGUUC
rnacentral:lncRNA from 1 species